UCCUACGGGAGGCAGCAGGGGGGAAUAUUGCACAAUGGGGGCAAGCCUGAUGCAGCCAUGCCGCGUGUGUGAAGAAGGCCUUCGGGUUGUAAAGCACUUUCAGUCGUGAGGAAGGCUGUGGCGUUAAUAGCGUCGGAAUUUGACGUUAGCGACAGAAGAAGCACCGGCUAACUCCGUGCCAGCAGCCGCGGUAAUACGGAGGGUGCGAGCGUUAAUCGGAAUUACUGGGCGUAAAGCGCAUGCAGGUGGUUCGUUAAGUCAGAUGUGAAAGCCCGGGGCUCAACCUCGGAAUCGCAUUUGAAACUGGCGGACUAGAGUACUGUAGAGGGGGGUAGAAUUUCAGGUGUAGCGGUGAAAUGCGUAGAGAU
rnacentral:rRNA from 1 species